rnacentral:tRNA from 1 species
GCGCUCGCGCGCCGUACCGCGGCCCUUUGGGCCGCUGGCGCUCCGCGAGGGCGCGGCACGAGCCGCGACGGCCACCAGUUUUAGUUAGGUUUGGCGGCCUUGCGAGGCUCUGCCUCGAAGCUGAUCGCCAUCUGCGCUUGGGGCUAAGGGCUUGUAGCUCAGUUGGUUAGAGCGCGCGCUUGAUAAGCGUGAGGUCGGAGGUUCAAGUCCUCCCAGGCCCACCAUCUCCUCGAUCACCAUGUUCGGGAAACACUAUCAGGGGCCGUAGCUCAGCUGGGAGAGCGCCUGCUUUGCAAGCAGGAUGUCGUCGGUUCGAUCCCGUCCGGCUCCACCAAUGCGCGAUCUCGAAGAGAUCGUCGCUUCAACCACCCUCUUGCGAGGUUGGCUAAGCGCGAUCCGAAAGGAUCGUCGCGUCGAGGCGUCGAGUAGAGGCGGUGAGAAAAAGUCAUUCGAGAAAGAGUUUGCGUUGAGCCUCUUGGCUCUGCGCCUGUUCUGUUUGACAUCGUAAAGAGAAGAUUUGUUCGAACUUCAUGGGUUCCGAAGGGGGCCAUGAUUUGUCGCAAGGGACGCUCAAUCCCUUGCCUAUGAUGGGUUUGCCUAACCGCGCCCUCGAACCGAUCUCGAGAAGCUGGUCUUUUUUGUGCCAAU